UACGUAGGGUGCGAGCGUUAAUCGGAAUUACUGGGCGUAAAGCGUGCGCAGGCGGUUUUGUAAGCCAGAUGUGAAAGCCCCGGGCUUAACCUGGGAAUGGCAUUUGGGACUGCAUAGCUAGAGUACGGCAGAGGGGGGUGGAAUUCCGCGUGUAGCAGUGAAAUGCGUAGAGAUGCGGAGGAACACCGAUGGCGAAGGCAGCCCCCUGGGCUAACACUGACGCUGAGGCACGAAAGCGUGGGGAGCAAACAGG
rnacentral:rRNA from 1 species